AGUUCGAUCCUGGCUCAGAUUGAACGCUGGCGGAUGCUUUACACAUGCAAGUCAGAACGGCACGGACUUCGGUCCAGUGGCGAGUGGCGAACGGGGUGAGUAAUGUAUCGGAACGCUCAGUAGGCGGGGGAUGACCGAUGCAGCAAGUAGAAGACAUCGGUACAUCUUCUCGGGAGCGGGGACUCCGGGCCCCGCACUAUUAGGAUGGCCGAUAUCGACACAGUUGUGGGGUAAUGGCUGCAUCAAGGGCGACGAUCUCGUAGUUGGUUUGGAGGAGGAACACGACCAGCCACACUGGGACUGGAGACACGGCCCAGACUCCUACGGGAGGCAGCAGUGGGGAAUUUUGAUAAUGGGGGAAAUCCCUGAUCCAGCCAUCCCGCGUGCGAUGAAGGCCUUCGGGUUGUGUAGCACUUUUUAUGAGAGUGAAACGGCACGAUAUUACCCGUGCAACUGACGGUGUACUUCCGCAGAAUAAGCACCGGCUAAUCACGCCAGCAGCCGCGUGGACAUGUAGGUGCUGACCUGGAAUCAUUGGGCGUAAAGCGUGCGCAGGCGGUUCGGAAAGAAAGAUGUGAAAUCCCAGAGCUUAACUUUGAACGGCAUUUUUAACUACUGAGCUAGAUGUGUCAGAGGAGGUGGAAUUCCGCGUGUAGCAGUGAAAUGCGUAGAUAUGCGGAGGAACACCGAUGGCGAAGGCAGCCUCCUGGGAUAACACUGACGCUCAUGCACGAAAGCGUGGGGAGCAAACAGGAUUAGAUAAUUCCUGAGUAGUCCACGCCCUAAACGAUUCAAUUAGCUGUUGGGGCCUUCGGGCCCGGUAGCGCAGCCAACGCGUGAAGCCGAACGCCUGGGGAGUACGGUCGCAAGAUUAAAACUCAAAGGAAUUGACGGGACCCGCACAAGCGGUGGAUGGAUUAAUCUGAUGCAACGCGAAAACCCACCUACCCUUGACAUGUCUGGAAUCCCGAAGAGAUUUGGGAGUGCUCGCAAGAGAACCGGAACACAGGUGCUGCAUGGGCCAUACACGUCGCAAUGUGUCGAGAUGUUAGUUGGGUCCCGCAACGAGUGCAACCCUUGUCAUUAGUUGCUACGAAAGGGCACUCUAAUGACUGCCGGUGACAAACCGAGGUGGAUGACGUCAAGUCCUCAUGGCCCUUAUGGGUAGGGCUUCACACGUCAGUACAAUGGCCGGACAGAGGGUCGCCAACCCGCGAGGGGGAGCCAAUCCCAGAAACCCGGAUCGUAGUCCGGAUCGCAGUCUGCAACUCGACUGCGUGAAGUCGGAAUCGUUAGUAAUCGCGCAUUCAGCAUGUCGCGGUGAAUACGUUCCCGGGUCUUGUAGGCGCACACCGCCUGUCACACCAUGGGAGUGGCUUUACCAGCAGUUGGGCCUAAUCCGCAGGAGGCGAUUACCACGUAGAUUCAAGGAUCAGUGAAGUCGUAACAAGGUAG
rnacentral:rRNA from 1 species